GAUGAACGCUGGCGGCGUGCUUAACACAUGCAAGUCGAACGGAAAGGCCCUGCUCUUGCUGGGUGCUCGUUUGGCGAACGGGUGAGUAACACGUGUGUAACCCGUCCCUGUAUUUGUGAUAACAUUAGGAAACUGGGGCUAUUACCCGAUAUGAGCUCUUGCAGCACGGUGGGGGUUGGUAAGAUUCGGCGGUUGGGGAUGGUCUCGCGGGUUAUCAGCUUGUUGGUGGGGUAGUGGCUUUCCAAGGUUUUGACGGGUAGCCGGCCUGGGAGGGUGACCGGCGACAUUGGGACUGAGAUACGGCCCAGAAGCCAACGGGAGGCAACAGUGGAGAGUAUUGCGCAGUGGGGGGAAGCCAGAUGCAGCAGCGCCGCGUGCGGGAUAACGGCCUACGGGGUAUAAACCGAUUUCGCAUGUAACGAGGAGUGAGUGACGGUAAUGGGUAAAGAAGCACCGGCUAACUACGUG
rnacentral:rRNA from 1 species